rnacentral:tRNA from 1 species
GGGGGUUUAGCUCAGUCGGUAGAGCAGCGGGCUUUUAACCCGUGUGUCGGGGGUUCGAUUCCCUCAACCCCUA